rnacentral:rRNA from 1 species
GGAGGUGAUCCAGCCACACUGGAACUGAGACACGGUCCAGACUCCUACGGGAGGCAGCAGUGGGGAAUAUUGCACAAUGGGCGCAAGCCUGAUGCAGCCAUGCCGCGUGUAUGAAGAAGGCCUUCGGGUUGUAAAGUACUUUCAGCGGGGAGGAAGGGAGUAAAGUUAAUACCUUGCUCAUGACGUACCCGCA